UACAGAGGUCCCAAGCGUUGUUCGGAUUCACUGGGCGUAAAGGGUGCGUAGGCGGUCGGGUAAGUCUGAUGUGAAAUCUCACAGCUUAACUGUGAAACUGCAUUGGAUACUAUCCGGCUCGAGGAAUGGAGGGGAGACUGGAAUACUUGGUGUAGCAGUGAAAUGCGUAGAUAUCAAGUGGAACACCAGUGGCGAAGGCGAGUCACUGGACAUUUCCUGACGCUGAGGCACGAAAGCCAGGGGAGCAAACGGG
rnacentral:rRNA from 1 species